rnacentral:rRNA from 1 species
GUCACGCUGUAAACGAUGUCGAUUUGGAGGUUGUUCCCUUGAGGAGUGGCUUCCGGAGCUAACGCGUUAAAUCGACCGCCUGGGGAGUACGGCCGCAAGGUUAAAACUCAAAUGAAUUGACGGGGGCCCGCACAAGCGGUGGAGCAUGUGGUUUAAUUCGAUGCAACGCGAAGAACCUUACCUACUCUUGACAUCCAGAGAAUUUAGCAGAGAUGCUUUAGUGCCUUCGGGAACUCUGAGACAGGUGCUGCAUGGCUGUCGUCAGCUCGUGUUGUGAAAUGUUGGGUUAAGUCCCGCAACGAGCGCAACCCUUAUCCUUUGUUGCCAGCACGUUAUGGUGGGAACUCAAAGGAGACUGCCGGUGAUAAACCGGAGGAAGGUGGGGAUGACGUCAAGUCAUCAUGGCCCUUACGAGUAGGGCUACACACGUGCUACAAUGGCGUAUACAAAGAGAAGCGACCUCGCGAGAGCAAGCGGAACUCAUAAAGUACGUCGUAGUCCGGAUUGGAGUCUGCAACUCGACUCCAUGAAGUCGGAAUCGCUAGUAAUCGUAGAUCAGAAUGCUACGGUGAAUACGUUCCCGGGCCUUGUACACACCGCCCGUCACACCAUGGGAGUGGGUUGCAAAAGAAGUAGGUAGCUUAACCUUCGGGAGGGCGCUUACCACUUUGUGAUUCAUGACUGGGGUGAAGUCGUAACAAGGUAACCA